rnacentral:rRNA from 1 species
GUGAGGAAUUUUCCGCAAUGGGCGAAAGCCUGACGGAGCAAUGCCGCGUGAAGGAUGAAGGCCUAUGGGUUGUAAACUUCUUUUCUUAGAGUAGAAUAUUGACGGUAUCUGAGGAAUAAGCAUCGGCUAACUCUGUGCCAGCAGCCGCGGUAAGACAGAGGAUGCAAGCGUUAUCCGGAAUGAUUGGUCGUAAAGCGUCUGUAGGUGGCUUCAAAAGUCUCCUGUCAAAGAUCAGGGCUUAACCCUGGGCCGGCAGGAGAAAAUCUGAGGCUAGAGUUUGGUCGGGGCAGAGGGAAUUCCCGGUGGAGCGGUGAAAUGCGUAGAGAUCGGGAGGAACACCAAAGGCGAAAGCACUCUGCUGGGCCACAACUGACACUGAGAGACGAAAGCGAGGGGAGCAAAAGGGAUUAGAAACCCCGGUAGUCC